UCUGUGAUGCCCUUAGAUGUUCUGGGCCGCACGCGCGCUACACUGUACACAGGCAGCAAGUAUUUGCCUUUACCGGGAAGGUCUGGGUAAUCUUGUGAAACUGUGUCGUGCUGGGGAUCGUCCCUUGCAAUUAUUGGACGUGAACGAGGAAUUCCUAGUAAGCGCAAGUCAUCAGCUUGCGUUGAUUACGUCCCUGCCCUUUGUACACACCGCCCGUCGCUACUACCGAUUGAAUGGCUUAGUGAGACCUCCGGAUUGACGAUUGCUGGGCCGCAAGGCCUGACAGUUGUUGAGAAGUUGGUCAAACUUGGUCAUUUAGAGGAAGUAA
rnacentral:rRNA from 1 species